AUUGAACGCUGGCGGCAGGCCUAACACAUGCAAGUCGAACGAGUGGCGGACGGGUGAGUCAUGUCUGGGAAACUGCCUGAUGGAGGGGGAUAACUACUGGAAACGGUAGCUAAUACCGCAUACCAUCAUAUGUGCCCAGAUGGGCUUAGCUUGUGGGUGGGGUAACGGCUCACCAGGGCGAGGAUCCCUAGCUGGUCUGAGAGGAGGACCAGCCACACGGGAACGUGGACACGGUCCAGAGUCCUACGGGAGGCAGCAGAGGGGAAUAUUGGACAAUGGGCGCAAGCCUGAUGCAGCCAUGCGGCGUGUAUGAAGAAGGCCUUGGGGUUGUAAAGUACUUUCAGCGGGGAGGCGGUACCCGUAGAAGAAGCACCGGCUAACUCCGUGCCAGCAGCCGCGGUAAUUC
rnacentral:rRNA from 1 species